rnacentral:rRNA from 1 species
UGGGGAAUUUUGCGCAAUGGGCGAAAGCCUGACGCAGCAACGCCGCGUGGGUGAUGAAGGUCUUCGGAUCGUAAAACCCUGUCGUCAGGGACGAAGGUCGGGGUGUUAAUAGCGCCUUGGCUUGACGGUACCUGGAGAGGAAGCCCCGGCUAACUCUGUGCCAGCAGCCGCGGUAAUACAGAGGGGGCAAGCGUUAUUCGGAAUUACUGGGCGUAAAGGGCGCGUAGGCGGUUGUUUAAGUCAGAUGUGUAAUCCCCGAGCUUAACUUGGGAACUGCAUCUGAGACUGGAGAGCUAGAGUACUGGAGAGGGUGGUAGAAUUCCACGUGUAGCGGUGAAAUGCGUAGAGAUGUGGAGGAAUACCAGUGGCGAAGGCGGCCACCUGGACAGUAACUGACGCUGAGGCGCGAAAGUGUGGGUAGCAAACAGG